CUAAAUUGAGAGGGUAUGAUCCCGGCUCAGGGUGAACGCUAGCGGCGCGCCUAACACAUGCAAGUCGAGCGAUCGGCUUGCCAAAGCCGUAAGGCCGAGGCAAGUACGGAGCGGCAAACGGGUGAGUAACACGUAGCCAACCUGCCUCCGUGACGGGGAUAACCCUCCGAAAGGAGGGCUAAUACCCGAUGGUCUUCUCGGGGCACAAGUCCUGGGAAGUAAAGGCACUUCGGUGUCACACGGAGAGGGGGUUGCGGCCCAUCAGCUAGUUGGCGGGGUAAUGGCCCACCAAGGCAACGACGGGUAGGGGGCCUGAGAGGGUGGCCCCCCACAUGGGGACUGAGACACGGCUCCGACUCCUACGGGAGGCAGCAGUGGGGAAUCUUGGGCAAUGGGCGAAAGCCUGACCCAGCGACGCCGCGUGCGGGACGAAGCCCUUCGGGGUGUAAACCGCUUUUCUAGGGGAAGAAUAAGGCGAGGAGGGAAUGCCUCGCCGAUGACGGUACCCUAGGAAUAAGCCACGGCUAACUACGUGCCAGCAGCCGCGGUAAGACGUAGGUGGCGAGCGUUACCCGGAUUCACUGGGCGUAAAGGGCGCGUAGGCGGUUUGGCAAGUCGUCUGUGAAAGCCCCCGGCUCAACUGGGGGAGGUCGGACGAAACUGCCAGGCUGGAGGACGGCAGAGGAAGGUGGAACGACCGGAGUAGCGGUGAAAUGCGUAGAUACCGGUCGGUAUCCCGAUGGCGAAGGCAACCUUCUGGGUCGUUCCUGACGCUGAGGCGCGAAAGCGUGGGGAGCAAACCGGAUUAGAUACCCGGGUAGUCCACGCCCUAAACGAUGUGAGCUAGGUGUCGGGCGAGCAGUCGCUUGGUGCCGCAGCUAACGCGUUAAGCUCACCGCCUGGGUAGUACGGCCGCAAGGCUAAAACUCAAGGGAAUUGACGGGGCCCCGCACAAGCGGUGGAGCAUGUGGUUCAAUUCGAUGCAAACCGAAGAACCUUACCCGGGCUUGACAUGCUGGUGGUACUGACCUGAAAGGGAAGGGACCCAGAGCCUUCGGGCGUUUGGGAGCCAGCACAGGUGCUGCAUGGCUGUCGUCAGCUCGUGUCGUGGGAUGUUGGGUUAAGUCCUGAAACGAGCGCAACCCCUGCCGCCCGUUGCCAGCGGACCCUUCGGGGUGCCGGGAACUUAGGCGGGACUGCCGGCGAAUAGCCGGAGGAAGGAGGGGAUGAUGUCAAGUCCUCAUGGCCCUUAUGUCCGGGGCUACACACAUGCUACAGUGCCUGGCACAAUGGGUCGCCAACCCGCAAGGGGGAGCCAAUCCCAUCAAAACCAGGCAUGGUUCGGAUUGCAGGCUGCAACCCGCCUGCAUGAAGCCGGAAUCGCUAGUAAUCGCGGGUCAGCCACACCGCGGUGAAUACGUACUCGGGGCUUGUACACACCGCCCGUCACGCCAACCGAGUGGGGGGUACCUGAAGUCGCCCGAUGAGGGCGCCGAGGGUGUCCUUCAUGAGAGGGGCGAAGUCGUAACAAGGUAGCGGUACGGGAACGUGCAGCUGGAUCACCUCCUUUCUA
rnacentral:rRNA from 1 species